ensembl:lncRNA
AGGUGUUAUAGGGCCAGGUGUUAUAGGAGUAGAUGUUAUAGGAGUAGGGUGUUAUAGGAGUAGGGUGUUAUAGGAGUAGGGUGUUAUAGGAGUAGGUGUUAUAGGAGUAGGGUGUUAUAGGAGUAGGUGUUAUAGGAGUAGGGUGUUCUAGGGCCAGGUGUUAUAGGAGUAGGGUGUUAUAGGAGUAGGGUGUUAUAGGGCCAGGUAUUAUAGGAGUAGGGUGUUCUAGGGCCAGGUGUUAUAGGAGUAGAUGUUAUAGGAGUAGGGUGAUAUAGGAGUAGGGUGUUAUAGGAGUAGGGUGUUAUAGGAGUAGGGUGUUAUAGGAGUAGGUGUUAUAGGAGUAGGGUGUUAUAGGAGUAGGGUGUUAUAGGAGUAGGGUGUUAUAGGAGUAGGGUGUUAUAGGAGUAGGUGUUAUAGGAGUAGGUGUUAUAGGAGUAGGGUGUUAUAGGAGUAGGUGUUAUAGGAGUAGGGUGUUAUAGGAGUAGGGUGUUAUAGGAGUAGGUGUUAUAGGAGUAGGGUGUUAUAGGGCCACGUGUUAUAGGAAUACAUUUUACAGCAUUAGAUAUACAUUUAUGGACUGAGUUCAAAAAUUAUUUUUUAAAUCUUUGGACAUUUUUUAGGAGCUGAAUGAAAGUACAUGAUGGAGAUGUAUUCGAACAUGUGUCUGUGUAUCGAUCUGACAUAUAAUUCAGAUAUAUCGGAUAUAUCGAUAUAAUUCAGUCUAUUUGUCAUCACCAUCUUUUGUAUUGUAGUAUUUGGUGUAAUUUCCCUCCUAUGUCCCUUUAGUUUUGUAUGCUGGAGAUGUGAAAGGAAUGUGUUAAGUAUUUUUUUUUUUUGCGGGCAUAUGGCACAACUAUUACAGUCUAGUUAGAGUUUGUGCACAUAAGAUUCAGAGACACUUAUAAACAGGGUCUAUAUGAAUCAACAACAUGGUGUCACGUCACGAUAGAAAGACACACACAUAGUAUAAACACACAGUACAAGUAGUAGUACACAGACAUCAUUUCAAUGGCUUCAUCAUAUUUCUCCUUGUCUUUUCUUUGCGUAUACACUUGUAUACAUGUUAGGAUACAGUUGGUGAGAAGGGUUUAGACACAUAGGUAGACACAUAGGUAGACACAUAGGUAGACACAUAGGUAGACACAUAGAUAGAUCGCUUAACAAAAUUAUGUUUUUUUCUUUUCAGAAAACAAACGUUAUCAUUUUUUUUGCAGUUGAAACAAUAUGGCUUUAACUAGUGAAAACCCUAUCAGACUUUUUUUUUUUUUUUAAGUUAAGAAUAAUUUACUCAUAACUUAUGAUUAUUGAAAUGUUUUUGUUCAUUUUUUGGAAUAUAUCAAUCUUCAAUGUCAUGUAGCCAUGUACGUUAUUAGAAAGAUAUGAGAAUUUCUUACAAUAAAACUUCACAGGAUUUGGUCUUUGGAAAGUGAAAAUGUAUGUUGCCAGCCUAUUUCUACUGCUAUCAACAAGACCAAAUCUGGACCACUUCCUUAGUUCUGGACCACUUCCUUACUUCUGGACCACUUCCUUACUUCUGGACCACUUCCUUACUUCUGGACCACUCCCUUACUUCUGGACCACUCCCUUACUUCUGGACCACUCCCUUACUUCUGGACCACUUCCUUACUUCUGGACCACUUCCUUACUUCUGGACCACUUCCUUACUUCUGGACCACUUCCUUACUUCUGGACCACUUCCUUAGUUCUGGACAGUUUCCUUAUUUACUAGUGACAAAAGAAAUUAUCGUUUUUUUCCCCCAGUAUCUUUGGAUUUGAUAUUAAUGAAUUCAAACAGUAAUUAGUUAAGCAUGUACUUUGUGUAAAACAGACAUGUGGUAUGGGAGGUGAGUAGUGAAAUAAUGACAUAGGCAGUAUUGGCUUCCUUCAAUGUAAUGCAGUUCUGAUUAUUUCCUUGUCUUUGGCAUUAACCACCAACUGCUAAAUAUGAUGUUGACUAAAUAAUUUUUAUAGAACUGUGCUUGUUUUUCUUCUUCUCUACACUGAAUAUGAAUCGUGUGUAUUCUAUGGAUAAUCUGAGUGUAUAAUGUUGAAUAUGAAUCGUGUGUACAGUAUUCUAUGGAUAAUCUGAGUGUAUAAUGUUGAAUAUGAAUCGUGUGUAUUCUAUGGAUAAUCUGAGUGUAUAAUGUUGAAUAUGAAUCGUGUGUACAGUAUUCUAUGGAUAAUCUGAGUGUAUAAUGUUGAAUAUGAAUCGUGUGUACAGUAUUCUAUGGAUAAUCUGAGUGUAUAAUGUUGAAUAUGAAUCGUGUGUACAGUAUUCUAUGGAUAAUCUGAGUGUAUAAUGUUGAAUAUGAAUCGUGUGUAUUCUAUGGAUAAUCUGAGUGUAUAAUGUUGAAUAUGAAUCGUGUGUACAGUAUUCUAUGGAUAAUCUGAGUGUAUAAUGUUGAAUAUGAAUC